rnacentral:rRNA from 1 species
UACGUAGGGACCAAGCGUUGUUCGGAUUUACUGGGCGUAAAGGGCGCGUAGGCGGCCAUUCAAGUCAGUUGUGAAAUCUCCGGGCUUAACUCGGAACGGUCAACUGAUACUGCUUUGCUAGAGUACAGAAGGGGCAAUCGGAAUUCUUGGUGUAGCGGUGAAAUGCGUAGAUAUCAAGAGGAACACCUGAGGUGAAGACGGGUUGCUGGGCUGAUACUGACGCUGAGGCGCGAAAGCUAGGGUAGCAAACGGG